GCGGGUUUAGCUCAGUUGGGAGAGCGUCAGACUGAAGUUCAACUUCAAUCACUAUCAUUCGAUAUCUGAAGGUCGUGUGUUCGAUCCACACAAACCGCA
rnacentral:tRNA from 1 species